GGCCUUUAGAAAAUAAUUUAAGGUCUGACCUGCCCACUGAUAAAUUAAAUGGCCGCGGUAUUUUGACCGUGCAAAGGUAGCAUAAUCAUUAGUUUUUUAAUUGAAAGCUGGUAUGAAAGGUUUGAUGAGAAAAUAACUGUCUCAAUUUAAUUUUUUUAGAAUUUUAUUUUUAAGUUAAAAAGCUUAAAUAUUUUUAAAAGACGAGAAGACCCUAUAGAGUUUUAUAAAAUUAAUUUUUGUAAUAGAAGGAUUUUAUUAUUAUAAUAAAUAAUUUUAUUUAAUUGGGGUGAUUAAAAAAUUUAAUAAACUUUUUUUAUAUUUUUACAUUAAUUAAUGAAUUUUUGAUCCAUAAAUUAUGAUUAAAAGAUUAAAUUACCUUAGGGAUAACAGCGUAAUUUUUUUUGAGAGUUCUAAUCGAAAAAAGAGAUUGCGACCUCGAUGUUGGAUUAAAGUUAAUUUUGGGUGUAGAAGCUUAAAAAUUAGGUCUGUUCGACCUUUAAAACUUUACA
rnacentral:rRNA from 1 species